GAUGAACGCUGGCGGCGUGCUUAACACAUGCCAGUCGAACGAAGCACUUUAUUUGAUUUCCUUCGGGACUGAUUAUUUUGUGACUGAGUGGCGGACGGGUGAGUAACGCGUGGGUAACCUGCCUUGUACAGGGGGAUAACAGUUGGAAACGGCUGCUAAUACCGCAUAAGCGCACGGCAUCGCAUGAUGCAGUGUGAAAAACUCCGGUGGUAUAAGAUGGACCCGCGUUGGAUUAGCUAGUUGGUGAGGUAACGGCCCACCAAGGCGACGAUCCAUAGCCGACCUGAGAGGGUGACCGGCCACAUUGGGACUGAGACACGGCCCAAACUCCUACGGGAGGCAGCAGUGGGGAAUAUUGCACAAUGGGCGAAAGCCUGAUGCAGCGACGCCGCGUGAGCGAAGAAGUAUUUCGGGAUGUAAAGCUCUAUCAGCAGGGAAGAUAAUGACGGUACCUGACUAAGAAGCACCGGCUAAAUACGUG
rnacentral:rRNA from 1 species